rnacentral:lncRNA from 1 species
GUUGCAACGAGUAUUUUGGUGCGUUUGGCAUUCCUUAUGCAUUGUUCAUUUAUUUUUAUGGAGCGUUUGAUGAUCUGUUCAUGCACGGGGUGCUCUCUAGAAGACAUAUUUGAGAGUUUUUUUUCCUUGUGAAGGGACAUGUUUUGAAAGGUUUUAAGCUGCUCUUUUGCUAAUGUUUGAUGCACUGCAAUCACUGAGCUAUUUAGAUUUGACUAUUGGAAGUACUAAUAUGUGGUGGCCAGCAAAAAGGUUCUAUCUUUGCUUUUUUUUGCAGCAGAAGACGAGGACGAGGACGAGGACGAGGACCCAACACAAUUGGAACCUAUAGUAGCUGAUUAUGGUGAUAUAGACCCCUUCAUGGCAGCAGAUUGAGGGCAAGCUUUGGUGCAUGUGAUUUUUUGAUUCGGUUUGGACUUUUGAAGAAUUAGAGCAAGCUUCAAUGAAGAGGGCCAUUUUGAAAUGGUGGUUUUAUGAAGGGUUAAUAGUGUUUUAUGUCCCGAACUUUCAGCAUUUUCUAUAAAAUGUUUCGAACUUUUAUUUUCUCCUAAUAAACACCGAACUUUUAGUUUUUUCCAUAAAAUGUCCCGCUAUACAAAAUUCAAAGACGAAAAGAUGACAAAAAAACUCCGAACUUUCAACGUUUUCCAACAAUGCUGGUUCCUAAUAUGAUUUUCCAACAAUAACAAUCCCUAAAGUAUUUCAUUCGGCGAGAUAAAUCAUCUUUUCGUCAUCGAAUUUUAUAUAUCGGGACAUUUUAUGGAAAAAAAUUGAAAGUUCG